UACAGAGGGGGCGAGCGUUAUUCGGAAUUAUUGGGCGUAAAGGGCGCGUAGGCGGCUUUUCAAGUGAGGGGUGAAAUCCCUCGGCUUAACCGAGGAACUGCCUGUCAGACUGGAAGGCUUGAGACCGGGAGAGGUGAGUGGAAUUCCCAGUGUAGCGGUGAAAUGCGUAGAUAUUGGGAGGAACACCAGUGGCGAAGGCGGCUCACUGGACCGGAACUGACGCUGAGGCGCGAAAGCGUGGGGAGCAAACGGG
rnacentral:rRNA from 1 species